GGUGCCAUGGUCUAGUGGUAUGACGAGACAUUGUGGCUGUCUUAGCCCCGGUUCGAUUCCGGGUGGCGCCA
rnacentral:tRNA from 2 species